rnacentral:RNase_P_RNA from 2 species
CGAGUCAGUUAGACAAUCGCCUGUUUAUCAGGAGGAAAGUCCGGGCUCCGCAGGGUAAAGUGCCAGGUAACGCCUGGGAAGCAUGAGCUUACGGAAAGUGUCACAGAAAAUAAACCGCUAUUUUAUGGCCUGUUGAUAUUCUACUAUGCUGGCUCCUUUCAGCUUUAGCAAAAUAUCAACAGGCCAUACUAGUAAGGGUGAAAAGGUGCGGUAAGAGCGCACCGCGUAAUUGGUAACAAUUAUGGCAGGAUAAACCCCACUUGGAGCAAGACCAAAUAAAAACUCGUUAGUGUGAUCCGCACUGAGUUUGGGUAGGUCGCUUGAGGUGCUUGGUGACAGGCAUCCUAGAUGAAUGAUUGUCCACGACAGAACCCGGCUUAUCGACUGACUCAAUAU